GGGGGGCGUGGGAAUCCAUGACGUCACUUUUCCCCGACUUUUUUAAAGAACUAUCAUAUAAACUCAUUGAGGAGUUUCUCCCGGGACCCGGUCCAGACUUCGCGAAGCGUUUCAGCCUGAUGCACGAGGGCGGCGCGAUACCUCGGACAAAUUGACAAAGCAGACGACAGAGACGCAUCUGUCUCUUAAUUAAAGACGUUCUCGACCGAGACUCUGACUCUUUGGGACCGCCGCCAGUCGUCCGGGCCGCUCACUUUUUCUCGAACCGCCGGCCGAUGUCAACCCGCGCCAAAAACGACACAAAUCACAUUGAGGAUACGGCCGAGAGGAGAUUCUUUCAGACUGGAGCAAAUAUUUUCUCUGGAGGUAAAACCUCCCGUUUGGCCAAGGCACAAAUGCUUCCAUACACCAUUUUCCAAAAUGGAUGUGUGCAUUUUUCCUCCCUCAAAUGGCCCAAACCUGAUACUGCUACAUUGAGAGGGGGCCCGGCCAACCCAGCCCGCCCUCCUCGCCGCAACUCCCUAAUUCAAGGCUGAAUAAACCAUUUCCUGAAGCGGCAAGGUCACGGGAUGAACCGUGUUUUUGUUUGGACAAGUCUGUAUCAUCCUUUGGGAGAAUUACAGAGCUGAUGAAGCGGGAGAAAUUACAAGGCUGACUACCCUUGUUUUUCCGCAGCCUGGACACGAGCCAGACCGAUCUUUUGCAAACUGGCAAUUCAAUCAUCUAAAGCUAAUUUUAUUUUGCAAUUGGAAUGCUGGCCAAGGGCCAAGCUAACAUGCUAACCUCAUCUUUGCCCCUUCUGCUCUAGAACCUUCUGUUGUAAGAUUAUGACUUUUCCGAAAACAAUGAAUAAAACCAAGCCGCAAUUCCGAA